UACGUAGGGUGCAAGCGUUAUCCAGAAUGAUUAGGCGUAAAGCGUCUGUAGGUGGCUUUUUAAGUCCGCCGUUAAAUCCUAGGGCUCAACCCUGGACAGGCGGUGGAAACUACCAAGCUGGAGUACGGUAGGGGUAGAGGGAAUUUCCGGUGGAGCGGUGAAAUGCGUAGAGAUCGGAAAGAACACCAACGGCGAAAGCACUCUGCUGGGCCGACACUGACAUUAAGAGACGAAAGCUAGGGGAACGAAUGGG
rnacentral:rRNA from 1 species